UGAUGACGUUCUCCGAAUCGCUGUACUGCCUUGAAGAAAGUGCCCUUCAACCCUUUUCACCUGAUGACUGGAAAAAAAAAGA